GUGGGAGGGGCAUACCUUAAGGUA
rnacentral:piRNA from 1 species